rnacentral:rRNA from 1 species
UACGGAGGGUGCAAGCGUUAUUCGGAUUCACUGGGUUUAAAGGGUGCGUAGGAGGGCAGGUAAGUCAGUGGUGAAAUCUCCGAGCUUAACUUGGAAACUGCCGUUGAUACUAUCUGUCUUGAAUACCGUGGAGGUGAGCGGAAUAUGUCAUGUAGCGGUGAAAUGCUUAGAUAUGACAUAGAACACCAAUUGCGAAGGCAGCUCACUACUCGCAUAUUGACGCUGAGGCAUGAAAGCGUGGGGAUCAAACAGG